AUGAAAAUUUAAUGAUGUUGAUGUUUGUAUUGACUAUAAUAGUACUCUAUAUGGUGGAGCAAACCAACGGCUACAACACAGUUCUGAAGAAUGCCUACCUGUUUCUGAAGUGUUGACCACCCAACAAAUCUCAGCGCCAAGAUGAUGAUUCAGAGGUAGGAGGGAUUCACUCAGAAAAUGAUGAUGGGAGGAGACUCGAUCUCGAAGCCAAUAAGCUCACAGAUCACAAGGAGACAAGCCCGCUGAGGAAGGAAGAUACUGAGAUAAAAUCCAUCUUGGGGGCUAAGAACCCAUUAGUAACAGAGUUGUUCCUAUGAUUACUCAAUCUUCACAGGAGCUACUGAGAUAAAUCCAUCUUGGGCUGAGGCACUUUAAGACUCUCUAUUCUCUAUAUCAUACAUGCGUGGACUACUCUUGGAAGAGCACAACUCAAUUUUUGACAGUGCUAUCAGGAGUUUUAAAACCGCCUUAUCUAUCAAUGCGGAAUCAAGAGAGGCGAAAGAGGAUUUACAAGCUGCAAAACAGCUAGCUAGCUAAUAAAGAAGAGAGAACAGCUUCAGAACAGGACACUGACGCUAAACGUUUUGUGGUUGUUGACAAGAAAAUAGACCCAAACUAAUGAACCAGAGACAUGUACUUUAGCUAUAGAGUAGAACUUCGUGUAAGCGUAAUAAGAAACAACAAACGCGGAAGAUUCUUCUUUCAUCAAAGCAAAUACUUACAGCCAUUUGUCUGAGAAAGUCCUUCUGAAGAAAACACAUUCCUUGAAAAAAUCAAUCAUGAUACUUCAAGCUCACAAACGCACACGGAGUCUCACCCUUUCUCACUCUGCGGACUUUCUGAAUUGCAGCUCUACAUGUUGUGCAAAACCAUUCUCCAUCUGGAACCGAUGCACGUGGAGGUUUCAUGCAAUACAUGUGAUACGCAUCAUCA